rnacentral:misc_RNA from 1 species
AACCUAGCACACCUGCGGUGUGUACCUGCGGAGGGAUCAUUAACCUUUCAAAUCAGGGUGCGGCGCGGCCCCCGAGGAGCGGAAACAAUCCUUGGGAGGUAUGCGGGGGCUUCGAGCCCCCCAUUUACGCACGCACGACUGCCAUUCUUACUUUACGAGCACCUUCUGUUCUCCCUCGGCGGGGCAACCUGCCGUUGGAACCGAAUAAACUCUUUUUGCAUCUAGCAUUACCUGUUCCGA